rnacentral:lncRNA from 7 species
AUCUCUUGGACCUAGGCUGCUUUCUGGGAGGUAGCGCUAUGCACCCAUAUAUUCUUCUUUCAAUGGUUUGAUCCUGUCAGAAGGAGUUUCACGUCUUCAUGAGUACAACAGAAGAAAAUCCAGAAAAUAAACCUGGAAGAUGAUAAGAAGACUUUCUAUAAUAGGUCUUCAUUUUACUAGAUCAGCUGUAAACAAGAUAAGCAAUGGUGAGUGUGAAAAUGAGUGCCAAAACAUCGAGAGCAAUUUGCAGCAGUUCAGUAACUCUUGUUGUGCAUAAAAUCCUUGGUCAGCCUGGUCCUCAAGGCCCUCCUGGUCCAAAAGGAGAGAAGGGAGAUCAAGGUGAUCAGGGCCCUCGGAGAACUAAAGAAGAAUACAGGGGUAAAUGUUCUGAUAGGUUGGCUGUGCCAGUUCAUUCUUCUUUACAUCUGUGCUUCAUUAGAAGAUGUUUGGUUAUGUUGUUCUAAUAUACAGUGAUUUCCUUCUUUAGUUGCAUUUUUGUGAAGAUUUACAUAAUAGUAAUCUUUUUUUUCUGUGAAGUAUGCGGAAUAUUUUGAAAUUGUAAUUUUAUUUUACUCUGUUCUUUUUAUUUUUUGGAGUUAGUAUGAUUAUGUAAAGUCAUAAUAUAUUUAUCUGAAUUU